rnacentral:rRNA from 1 species
UACGGAGGGUGCAAGCGUUAUCCGGAUUUAUUGGGUUUAAAGGGUCCGUAGGCGGACUCAUAAGUCAGUGGUGAAAUCCUGCAGCUCAACUGUAGAACUGCCAUUGAUACUGUGAGUCUUGAAUUCGGUUGAAGUGGGCGGAAUAUGACAUGUAGCGGUGAAAUGCUUAGAUAUGUCAUAGAACACCGAUUGCGAAGGCAGCUCACUAAGCCUGGAUUGACGCUGAUGGACGAAAGCGUGGGUAGCGAACAGG